AUCGACACUUCCGGUCUCCGAGCAGGACACUGCUACUUAACAAGGUGGUUUGAGCCAAACUGUGGCACGUUUCAGGCAGGAUUCCUCCUUCAUUCAAACUGCAUCACCCAGGAGUCUGCAAAUUCCCCAAAGUAGGAGGAAAAAUGACCACAUUCAAGGUGAGGGGGGCGUGCCUCUCUCGCUGUUAAAAUUCCAUGUCACUACUCAUAUUUUCAUGUGUUUUUCUCUGUCAUGAGAAGACUCAAGGGGAAAACAGGCAUUUGGGGACCUGUUUGUGCCAGGUGCUUCCUUUAUCUCUUUUGUGUUGACUGCAUUUGGUUUUUGGUUUUGCUUUGUUUUGUUUUGUUACCAUUAUUUAUUUUAUGGAGUAUGAAAAUUAGUAGAAAUGAACAGUGCUCCCACUUCCUUACCUCCCCUCUCUCAAAUUAUCUGUUUUUAUCUUCUCUGCUGUUCGUCAUGUACAUUUGUAACUGUAUUUGUAUUGAUGAUAUACAUCUAAUUGUAAACUGUGCUCUUUUUAUAUGUUAUAUAAUCUUCCAUUUUUAUGGUUACAUCAUAUUCCUAUUAC
rnacentral:lncRNA from 10 species